GUACUAACUAUAUUGGAAAUAAUCUGCCAGUGGAACGAGAACGUUCUCAUCAACAUGAAGAAAUUACUUACUUAAAAUAAGCUACUAUAUCUAACUAAAUCGCUACUUAUAAGUUAUUUUCAUCUUAUUUCAAGAGUACCAAGGACUUUGAACCAAAAAAAGAACUCCCCCCCAAAAAAA